GACGAACGCUGGCGGCGUGCUUAACACAUGCAAGUCGAACGGAAAGGCCCCUUCGGGGGUACUCGAGUGGCGAACGGGUGAGUAACACGUGGGCAACCUGCCCCUAGCUCUGGGAUAACUCCGGGAAACCGGUGCUAAUACCGGAUAUCGACCUUCGCAGGCAUCUGCAUUGGUCAAAAGUUUUUCGGCUAGGGAUGGGCCCGCGGCCUAUCAGCUUGUUGGUGGGGUAACGGCCUACCAAGGCGACGACGGGUAGCCGGCCUGAGAGGGCGACCGGCCACACUGGGACUGAGACACGGCCCAGACUCCUACGGGAGGCAGCAGUGGGGAAUAUUGCGCAAUGGGCGAAAGCCUGACGCAGCGACGCCGCGUGAGGGAUGACGGCCUUCGGGUUGUAAACCUCUUUCAGCUCUGACGAAAAUGACGGUAGGAGCAGAAGAAGCACCGGCCAACUACGUGCCAGCAGCCGCCGUAACAC
rnacentral:rRNA from 1 species